rnacentral:rRNA from 1 species
GACGAACGCUGGCGGCGUGCUUAGCACAUGCAAGUCGAACGGAGCGAAUGAAAGCUUGCUUUUAUGAGCUUAGUGGCAAACGGGUGAGUAACACGUAGACAACCUGCCGACAGGAUGGGGACAACAUUCCGAAAGGAAUGCUAAUACCGAAUGAAGCGGAGGAGAGGCAUCUCUCCUCCGUGAAAGAUGGCCUCUAUUUAUAAGCUAUCACCUGUCGAUGGGUCUGCGUCUGAUUAGCUAGUUGGUGAGGUAACGGCUCACCAAGGCGACGAUCAGUAGCCGGUCUGAGAGGAUGAACGGCCACAUUGGGACUGAGACACGGCCCAGACUCCUACGGGAGGCAGCAGUGGGGAAUCUUCCGCAAUGGGCGCAAGCCUGACGGAGCAACGCCGCGUGAGUGAAGAAGGUCUUCGGAUCGUAAAGCUCUGUUGACGGGGACGAACGUGCGAAGGGUGAAUAAUCCUUUGUAAUGACGGUACCUGUCGAGGAAGCCCGG